AUUACUAAAAGAGAAAAAUUGGAACCUCCAUCCCAAAGAACAUCUGUAAUGAGAUUUAGAAGACAACGUCCUACUGGGAAGUAUAUGCUUAAGAAUUGUCACUGCAACACUUCCAGAAUGUAGUGCGUCGAGUCCGUGAACUUCCAGAGUUUGCAUUAAAAACUGACACAAUAUCAGAGUGCCAGAAGCUUCUCAUACUGUGGCUCUCAAGGUAAAAGCCAGAGACACCAUCCUGUCCUCCUGUGUUUGGGAACAUGGUUCAGGCCCCUCACAAAGUGGCGUGAGAGAGAUCUAUAAGAUGAAACUGGCCAGCAGACUGAAGAAUUCAUUCCA